rnacentral:rRNA from 1 species
CCUACGGGUGGCAGCAGUGAGGAAUAUUGGUCAAUGGACGAGAGUCUGAACCAGCCAAGCAGCGUGAAGGAUGACUGCCCUAUGGGUUGUAAACUUCUUUUAUAAAGGAAUAAAACGAGGUACGUGUGCCUUUUUGCAUGUACUUUAUGAAUAAGGAUCGGCUAACUCCGUGCCAGCAGCCGCGGUAAUACGGAGGAUCCGAGCGUUAUCCGGAUUUAUUGGGUUUAAAGGGAGCGUAGAUGGGUUGUUAAGUCAGUUGUGAAAGUUUGCGGCUCAACCGUAAAAUUGCAGUUGAUACUGGCAGUCUUGAGUACAGUAGAGGUAGGCGGAAUGCGUGGUGUAGCGGUGAAAUGCUUAGAUAUCACGAAGAACCCCGAGUGCGAAGGCAGCUUACUGGACUGGGACUGACACUGAUGCUCGAAAGUGUGGGUAUCGAACAGGAUUAGAUACCCCAGUAGUC